GAUUAACGCUAGCGGCAGGCCUAAUACAUGCAAGUCGAACGGGAUUAGUUGUAGCAAUACGACUAUGAGAGUGGCGCACGGGUGCGUAACACGUAUGCAACCUACCUAUAACUGGGGGAUAGCCUCCCGAAAGGGAGAUUAACACCGCAUAACAUUAUGAAGUGGCAUCACUUUAUAAUUAAAUCUACGGAGGUUAUAGAUGGGCAUGCGUCCGAUUAGCUAGUUGGUGAGGUAACGGCUCACCAAGGCUCCGAUCGGUUGGGGGUCUGAGAGGAUGAUCCCCCACACUGGUACUGAGACACGGACCAGACUCCUACGGGAGGCAGCAGUAAGGAAUAUUGGACAAUGGGCGCAAGCUUGAUCCAGCCAUGCCGCGUGAAGGAUGAAGGCCCUAUGGGUCGUAAACUUCUUUUAUACGGGACAAAACCCCCCGAUGCGUCGGGGGUUGAUGGUACUGUAAGAAUAAGGGUCGGCUAACUUCGUGCCAGCAGCCGCGGUAACAC
rnacentral:rRNA from 1 species